rnacentral:rRNA from 1 species
GAUGAACGCUGGCGGCGUGCCUAAUACAUGCAAGUCGAGCGGCCGGACGAGAAGCUCUCUUCUCUACUGUUAGCGGCGGACGGGUGAGUAACACGUGGAUAACCUUCCUAUUUUUCUGGGAUAACUACGGGGGACAAGUGCUACUACCGGAUGAUAUUUCGAACGGCAUAGUUCAGAAGUGAUAGACGCUUUUGCUGUCACUUGUAGCUGAAUCCGCGCUGCAUUAGCUAGUUGGUAAGGUAACGGCUUACCAAGGCAACGAUGCAUAGCCGACCUGAGAGGGUGAUCAGCCACACUGGAACUGAGACACGGUCCAGACUCCUACGGGAGGCAGCAGUAGGGAAUCUUGCGCAAUGGGCGAAAGCCUGACGGAGCAAUGCCGCGUGAGUGAUGAAGGUCUUCGGAUCGUAAAACUCUGUUGUUGGGGAAGAAAAUAUGUGGGUGUAACUGUGGACAUCCUGACGGUACCUAAACAGAAAGCCACGGCUAACUUCGUG